CUAAGCGUACACGGUGGAUGCAAUGGCAGUCAGAGGCGAUGAAGGGCGUGCUAAUCUGCGAUAAGCGCCGGUAAGGUGAUAUGAACCGUUAUAACCGGCGAUACCCGAAUGGGGAAACCCAGUGUGAUUCGUCACACUAUCAUUAACUGAAUCCAUAGGUUAAUGAGGCGAACCGGGGGAACUGAAACAUCUAAGUACCCCGAGGAAAAGAAAUCAACCGAGAUUCCCCCA
rnacentral:rRNA from 1 species